rnacentral:rRNA from 1 species
UGAGUACGAGCUGCUACGGCAGCGAAGUGGGUGAUGUCAAGCUUCCAAGAAAAGCCCUAUACCCGUUAAGGCAUGAUGGCCUGUACCCGAAACCGACACAGGUGGGGUGGUAGAGAAUACCGAGGGGCGCGAGGUAACUCUCUCUAAGGAACUCGGCAAAAUGGCCCCGUAACUUCGGGAGAAGGGGUGCCACCGCAAGGUGGUCGCAGUGAAGAGGCCCAGGCGACUGUUUACCAAAAACACAGGUCUCCGCUAAGUCGCAAGACGAUGUAUGGGGGCUGACGCCUGCCCUGUGCCGGAAGGUUAAGGAAGCUGGUCAGCGCAAGCGAAGCUGGCGACUGAAGCCCCGGUGAACGGCGGCCGUAACUAUAACGGUCCUAAGGUAGCGAAAUUCCUUGUCGGGUAAGUUCCGACCCGCACGAAAGGCGUAACGAUCUGGGCGCUGUCUCGGAGAGAGGCUCGGCGAAAUAGAAUUGUCUGUGAAGAUGCGGACUACGUGCACCCGGACAGAAAGACCCUAUGAAGCUUUACUGUAGCUUGGUAUUGUGCCCGGGCUCUGAAUGCGCAGGAUAGGUGGGAGGCUUUGAUCCAUUGCUUGUGGGUGAUGGUGAGCCACUGGUGAGAUACCACUCUUUCAGAGCUAGGGUUCUAACGGUCACCCGUUAUCCGGGGACCGGACAGUAUCAGGUGGGCAGUUUGACUGGGGCGGUCGCCUCCUAAAAGGUAACGGGGGCGCGCAAAGGUUCCCUCAGGCUGGUUGGAAAUCAGCCGACGAGUGUAAAGGCAGAAGGGAGCUUGACUGUGAGACCUACAAGUCGAACAGGGACGAAAGUCGGCCUUAGUGAUCCGACGGUUCUGAGUGGAAGGGCCGUCGCUCAACGGAUAAAAGUUACUCUAGGAUAACAGGCUGAUCUCCCCCAAGAGUUCACAUCGACGGGGAGGUUUGGCACCUCGAUGUCGGCUCAUCGCAACCUGGGGCUGAAGUCGGUCCCAAGGGUUGGGCUGUUCGCCCAUUAAAGCGGUACGCGAGCUGGGUUCAGAACGUCGUGAGACAGUUCGGUCCAUAUCCGGUGCACGCGCAGGAACAUUGAGAGGAUUUCUCCCUAGUACGAGAGGACCGGGAGGAACGCACCUCUGGUGUACCAGUUAUCGUGCCAACGGUAAACGCUGGGUAGCCAUGUGCGGAGUGGAUAACCGCUGAAAGCAUCUAAGUGGGAAGCCCACCUCAAGAUGAGUGUUCCCAUGGCAUAAGCCAGUAAGGUCACGGGAAGAACACCCGUUGAUAGGCUCUACGUGGAAGCGUGGCAACACGUGAAGCGGAGGAGUACUAAUAGACCGAGGGCUUGAA